GUGCCAGCCGCCGCGGUAAUACAGAGGGUGCAAGCGUUAAUCGGAUUUACUGGGCGUAAAGCGCGCGUAGGCGGCUAAUUAAGUCAAAUGUGAAAUCCCCGAGCUUAACUUGGGAAUUGCAUUCGAUACUGGUUAGCUAGAGUGUGGGAGAGGAUGGUAGAAUUCCAGGUGUAGCGGUGAAAUGCGUAGAGAUCUGGAGGAAUACCGAUGGCGAAGGCAGCCAUCUGGCCUAACACUGACGCUGAGGUGCGAAAGCAUGGGGAGCAAACAGGAUU
rnacentral:rRNA from 1 species